CUGUAGUCUAGGUGCUCGUUAUAAGUGCUUGAAAUCAUUUAUUGCCGUGUUUCCUAGCAUCAAGACUGUGAUCGAAGGGUGAAUUGUGACUGAAUUACUGAGCUACAAAUAAUAUUAAGUAGUUAUUUAUAAGUCAAGGUUACUCUACAUCACUCUCGACUCGCCUUGAAAGUCAUCUGCAAUGUGGAACGUCCAACAAUUCAUUGACACAGUUGUGACUGACUCCUUCAUAGCCGUCGGCCAGCUCUUUCACAUCCACCAUCUAAUUGAGGUGAAAGGACAGAAAUGUUGAAAGUGUGUUUUCUGCAGCACCAGUAAGGACCGUUCUCCUAUGAUGUAGUCGACCCUAUCAGAAAACAUUUACUCACUUUUUGCUUUUAUACAAAAAACAUGCCAUUUCUCCAUUUUGGUGAAAAGUGGGCCAUUAGCUAAACCACAACCUUCCUGUCCAAAGACCUUCAUGAACUAAUGAAACUAUAUCUGACAGUUUGGGGAGGAAUUCAUUCUAACGGGUGAAAAUGAACCAGGUCUUUUCUGUGUAUGUGCCGGUCUUUAAACAUAAAUGUAAAUAUAUAAAAUAUACUAAUAAUGCAUCCAGUCUCUGGUUAUUGGAGAUACUUCCCAUUCUGCACAAUUGUGACCUUUGACCCCUUGCACGUGGUCUUAAAUGUCCACAUUCUGGAUGACAUCCUGCCAGACUUUGUUGGUAUUUCACUGUUUGAUCUAGCAUGUGACUGUUUUUCCCCCAUCACUUGUCCCAUGUUGGCUGGCCUACUAUGCAGUUAAAUGGAAAGGUUUCUCCCCAGCACUUGUCCCAUGUUGGCUGGCCCACUAUGCAGUUAAAUGGAAAGGUUCUACAGAUGUAGACGUGACAUGUGAAUUGGGAUGAGGGGAAAUGACAAUCAAUGACAACUGAAAUAGCAAACAUUAUCUGUAUAUCGCUAUAUUUGUUCUUGUAGAUGUACUUUGAAUAUGUUUAAUAUGUGGGGGAAGCAUUUCAUUUGUAGUCUUUCUUAAUUUGUCGUUUUGAGUGGC
rnacentral:lncRNA from 1 species